GACGAACGCUGGCGGCGUGCUUAACACAUGCAAGUCGAACGGACAGGCCCUGCUUUUGUUGGGUGCUCGAGUGGCGAACGGGUGAGUAACACGUGUGUAUCCUGCCCUUGUCUUUGGGAUAACUUCAGGAAACUGGGGCUCAUACCGGAUAUGAGCUCCUGCUGCAUGGUGUUGGUUGGAAAGUUUCGGCGGUUGGGGAUCGUCUCGCGGGUUAUCAGCUUUUUUGUGGGGUUGUGGCUUACCAAGGCUUUGACGGGUAGCCGGCCUGAGAGGGGUACCGGGCACAAGGGGACUGAGAUACGGACCAGACUCCUACGGGAGGCAGCAGGGGGGAAUAUUGCACAAUGGGCGGAAGCCAGAUGCAGCAACGCCGCGUGCGGGAUGACGGCCUUCGGGUUGUAAACCGCUUUCGCCUGUGACGAAGCGUGAGUGACGGUAAUGGGUAAAGAAGCACCGGCUAACUACGUG
rnacentral:rRNA from 1 species